rnacentral:misc_RNA from 1 species
AGAAAAAAAAAAAAGAAAAUUUGAAGAAAUUUAAAGCACAAAGGUAUUAAUAUGGUGUCGUAAACAAAAAACUAGAUGGUUAAUGCCUUUGCUUGUCCUGCUCUUGUGAAUGUUGGAUACAAAAUGUUAUGAUGAACCAUAUUUAGUACAUAUAUUAGUUAGUAGCUUGAACUUCCUGUUGAAUGCAAAAGCAUAACCAGUUUGCUAAGUUCGACACUAGGCUGCCAAGUUCGACACCAGGCUGCCAAGUUCGACACCAGGCUGCCAAGUCUUGAAAUUUUUGUGCCUGAAGCAGGGUAAUGCGAUCAGGGCCAUUGUUUGUACCUGAUCUUGAUCCACUCUAAUUAUUCAAAUGACUUCUCAGAAUUUCAUCCACAAUUCCGCAUCAUGAAAUUGCUUGAAUUUCAAAGGGUUCUGAAAUUGUCUUAAUUUGGUAGGGAAACUAUAUGACAGAAUCAUACCACUUUUCCUUAAUUUGUCCCUUUCUUCCUUUUGUUUUUCCCCAUCCACUUUUCUGUUCUUGCACAAUUUUAAUGAUUUAGGCUAUAUUACUUCUAUAAUGAUUUUAAUUUGUCUUUUUUUUUUUUUCUGAUAAAAAGGUAGGAAAAGCUACAUCAUUUUUGUUGCCCAGUUAGAUUGUUUCUAUUUUACACACAUACAGAGGCAUUGUUCCUUGGCUCACUUAAAUACAACCUGUGAGUUGAGACAUUAUGCUUAAAAGACGAGCUUAAAUUGUUUGUGAUGUAUGCAGGUAUGGGGAGGCAAUCCGGCAA